rnacentral:lncRNA from 1 species
UGAUUCUAUGAGAACAAGAAAGGCGACAGCGUUGUUUCUAUUAAUUCAAAUGGAACAAGGAGAGCAGCUAUUACAGGCUCAGGAUUUACUUUUACAAGUAAAAUAUUAUUUUUUGUCAAUUUUUCAUAUCAAGUAACAUAAUGAAAAUCAUAAACGCGCCUCGUACACCAACACUGCAGGUACACGUAUAUAAGGGAAACCAACUUUUCUUCAUUAUUCUGAUUUUUUAUGUAUCGUCUGAGUUGUUGUCACACGAAUGUUUACUCCAUAACCAUUUUGUUUUCUAUAUGUCAUAUUUUGCCGCAUUUGUUGCUUUCCCCACAUCCUUCCUUUUGUCUAUAUUAUUAUGAUAUUCUCCUGGAAAGAGCUCUUUUUGAAUAAAAGGGAUCAACGAACCCAUUACCUUACCUUUAAGAUAGAUCAGUAAACAUGGGC